UUGGUCUUCAAAGUCUUCAGGCCCUGCUCCUCCUUCUUCCUCAGCUACCUCGUCAAAUACGGGAUCUAACGUUGCAAGAAAAUAACGGGAAAAUAAGACAAUAAUAAAAACAGAAAAGUCAAAGUGCUCAGAAAAAUGUCAACUUAUUUUCGUAAAAUACUAGGAGGAAAACUAGGAAGGGGAAAAUUCUUGAUUUGGAAUUUGGAGCUAGGGAAAUAGAGUUGUGGAUUUUCAAACAGAGGUUUUAUUGUUCAAAUUCGAAUUUAAAUUUGAACAGAGCAAAAAGGUGUAAUGGAUGUGCAUGAAAGUUACAUCAAUAAAUAGGUGGGAUUAUUCUAAGAUUUUAGGAGUUGGAAUCAUUUCAUUUGGACAAAUAUUUUGCCCUGUGGAAUUUUUGGAAAGGGGACAGAAAAAGAAAAAGAAAAGUGGCGCUGUGCCACUGGGCCAGAGAGGCCACGGGCAGCAGGCCCAGAGGGGAAACCAGCCCACGCGGGCCGCCACGUCAAAGGCGUAAAGGCGAAAUAUGCCUUCAGCCGACGGGCGAACCGGUGCGCGCGCGCGCGUUUUAAACUUGACGGGUGGAUCCCACCUGUCAGGGCGUGAGGCUGACGGGCCGGCCCCACGGCCGUCGUUGUCUACCUCCGGCCAGAGGCAACGACGAGCUCGCCGGCAGUGAUACAGGGCACGGGAAGGAGCGCGGGUGGUACCGUUGGACUCGGGGUGGAGUCGCCGUUCGGGUGGUGGUGGAGACGGUCGCCGGAGCAGCCUGGUUUGCCGGCGACGAGGUCACGCGGCGGAGGUGCUUCGGGCGUCGAUGAAUCCGGCCAUUCCCGGCUGCAAAAAGAGGGGGGAAGAGAGGGAAAUGGUCAGCGUGGCCGCGCGGUUCCAGAUUGAUAAGAAAUGGAGGCGGAGGAGGCCUGUACCGCGCGAACGCUGACGAGCCGAGGCGGCGGAGCUCGAGCUCGAUCUCGAGCUCGGGCGGCUCUGGGAUGGAUGGGUGGUGCGGGAGGUCGAUUUGGAGUGUGGGGGAACGACAGGGAGCAAAAGAGGGGCUCGUGGUCGCCUUAUAUGGGCAGGCCGAGGUCCACCGUAGGCAUGGCCUACGGGUGCCCGCGAAAUCGGCUCGGGUGGCCGUUAGAGAGGGAUUGGAGAGCUCGGGGGUGUUUGUGGGAGUGGUGUAGGGUGCCAGGGAGAGAGAGAGAAGGAGCGGGGCGAGCUGCACGCGGGCCACAGGAGUGGCGCGAGCAUUGGCCGAGCGGAGCGGCGUUCUGGCGCGAGCUGCAGGAGAGAGAGGAGGGCGCGGGAGCAAGGGGGCGGCCUGCUGGCGUGGAGCGGACGUCGAGGGGCAUCGACUGGCACGCGGGGGAAGCUCGAGGUGGUCGAGGGACGCGGCGUCAACGGUCGGAAGCGCGAUGACAUGCUCCAGAGCGCGUCUUUGGCCGGCAUCCGCGGCUUUUCCGUGUCCGCGCACGUCCACUAGUGUCUGGAAGCUGCAGGGGGUGUGGGCAAAACUAGGAGUGAGCCUCGGAUGCUCUGGAGGGCCGAGGGGAGAGAAGGAGAUAGAGAGAGAGGGGAGAAGCUGCUGUCCAGAGAAGACAAAUGGGGUUUCCCCCUCCCUCAUCAUUUCUUCCUUGGGCAGGGAAGCAUCCAAGUGACAGAGGGGAACGAGGAGGAGUUUUGGUAAAAAGAUGGGCUCAAGGAGAUUAGUGGAAGGGGAUGGAAUUAGCAUUCUAAAAUUCUGCCAGAAGGUGUUUGAUGAUAUUUUGGGCAAGUUAAUGACUUCCACUGGCCAUGACACUUCACAGGGUGAGAUGCCACAUAUAAUUAGGGCCUUCCACCCAUUUUGAGCUUAUUUGGACAAAGUUGCCAAUGUAACUUUUGCAAACCCUAAAAAUGGGCAGGAAUGGAUUUGUGUAGAUCCAGAUGAGUAGAUCACUUCUCCUUGAUUCACCACUUGGUGUGGUGGCCUUACUUGGUCAUGUGAUCAAGCUCACAAAAGUUGGGGUCAUGGAGAAAAAGUUGGUAGUACAAAGUAGUACAAAUUUGAUUCUGGUCAGAAUAGGUUUUGAGGCACUUUGACCAGGAUUUCUUCUUCUCCAACCUGUUCCAUUUGGUCUAGAUGCAUCAUUAGACCACUGGAGCAUGUGCACCAAGUUUGAGAACAUUUGGUCAUGUUUGGCAAUGUAAAGUUGCUCAAACUUCAAAAUGGAGAGAAAUGGUUUUGAGGGGAUUUCAUGGGGUUAUACUAUUCUCCAUGACAUGAGACUUGUCAAGAUCAUCCAGUAUGUCAUAUGUGAGAUGAUAGAAUUUUCUUGGAAUUUUUGGAGAAUAUUUCCUUUGUAAAUAUUUCAAAAGCUUGAAAUAUCCAGAAAGGGUUUAUGAGGGAUUUGACCAAUAUUUUGAACAUGACCAUGUGUUGAAACUCUUAUAUAUGGAAAAUAUAUGUCCACUGAGUUUCCCUAAUUUUUGUCAAAUAUUUUUAAAACAAUAAAAUAAUUUUUCCCUAUUAAAGACCAUUUCUGGCCUUAAGAAAAAGCCUUUAAAUAAAAUAGUAAAACAACUUUUAAAAUUAUAUUUUUGUGGUUUCUAGGUAUCCUAUAUCUAGUAGGAGUCAAAUAUAUUUUUGGAAAGAUUUUUACUGCCCUUAAUUAAGUACUUGCAGUGCAAACCUCAAUUCAGGGGUUUUUGGAAAACUAAAUUUAGAAAAUACUUUCUGGCCAAAUUAUUUUUGUAAGAAAAUUCUAUAUUGCACUAUACACAUGGCAUGGUCAUUGGGCAGGAGUUUGGGGCAAGGAGAUGAAGUACAGAGGUGGAGUAGUUGACUUUAAAGAGCACUUGAAAAGAAGCACAGAGAGAAAACCAAUUCCAAAUAAAAACCAAAUAAUGCAAAAGUUUUUGUUGGUCCAAAUUUUCAUGCUUUAUUAAUGCAAAUGAAGUGUUACAAAAUGCAGGGUGUGACAGACCUACCCCCUUACAAGAAUCUCAUCCCCGAGAUUCCUAAACUAGGCUUUAAAGAGAUACGGAAACUCGGAUCUAAGGUAGUCUUCACGCUCCCAAGUUGCUUCUGCUUCAAUGUGGUUGCUCCAUUGGACCUUGAAGUACUUGAUGGUGCGGCUUCGAGUGCGUCGCUCAGCCUCAUCCAGAAUACAGAUGGGCCUCUCACGGUAAGUCAAAUCAGGCUGAAGGUCAAUAGCUUGGUGAUUGACGUCCUUGUAAAGAUCAGGCUUGUCUGGAACUUGGAGACACUUCCGGAGUUGUGACACGUGGAACAUAUUGUGCACAUCGGAAAGUUCAGGUGGAAGUUCCAACUGGUAAGCCACUUCUCCCCGUCGUUCAGUGAUCUUGAAGGGGCCAAUGUAUGUUGGGGCGAGCUUUCCUUUGACAUGGAAGCGCUGGGUUCCUUUGAGAGGGUGACCCGGAGAUAGACAUGGUCCCCAACUCGGAAGUUUAUGUCUCUACGACGUGAGUCAGCGUAGCUCUUCUGCCUUGACUUGGCGGUCUUCAAACGCUCUCUGACAAGCUGGACUUGCUCUUCUGCUUCACGAAGGAUAUCAGGCCCAAAGACAAGUCCUUCUCCGGUUUCUGACCAAUUGAGGGGUGUGCGGCAUUUCCGUCCGUAUAACACCUCAAAUGGCGCCGUCUGAAGGCUUGCCUGAUAACUGUUGUUGUAAGAGAACUCGGCGAAAGGGAGGCAGUCUUCCCACUUAGCUACAUAAGCUAAGACACAGGCUCGGAGCAUGUCUUCGAGUAUCUGAUUUACUCGUUCUGUCUGUCCUCCGGUCUGUGGGUGGAAACAGUGCUGAAGGACAACUUGGUCCCCAUGGCGUCCUAGAACUUCUUCCAGAACCUUGAGGUAAACUGGGUUCCUCGAUCUGACACAAUCUCCUUGGGAACACCAUGAAGGCUUACGAUUCGGUUGAUGUAGAGAGUUGCCAGCUGGUUGCCAUCAUGGGUAGUCUUAACAGGAAUGAAAUGGGCUACUUUGGUCAAAUGAUCGACUAUGACCCAGAUGGAGUCAUGUCCCUUGUUUGACCUAGGCAGUCCAGUGAUGAAAUCCAUCCCGACUUUAUCCCAUUUCCACUCGGGAACCUUGAGUGGUUGGAGUAAUCCAGCAGGUCGCUGAUAUUCAGCCUUGACUCUUUGGCACACAUCACACUUUGCAACAUAGGUGGCAAUCUCCCUUUUCAUCCCGUGCCACCAAAAUCUUUCCUUCAGGUCUUGAUACAUCUUGGUUCCUCCAGGGUGGAUGGAAUAUGGGGUGUCAUGAGCUUCUUGCAAGAUUAGGUUCUUGAGCUCAACCUUGUUGGGCACGCAGAUGCGAUUCCCAAACCACACAAUUCCUUCCUCAUCUUCUGUGAAUCUUGGGGCCUUGCCCGCUUUGAUCUUCCUCUUGAUACCUUCGAUACUCUCGUGUCCCUUCUGAGCUUCCUUAAUAUCAUCCAUCAAGGUAGACUUAACUUCGAGGUUGGCCAAGAAUCCUGGUGCAACCAGUUCCAACCUGAAGCUUUCAAGUUCUUCAUACAAGGCGGGUAGCUUGUCCUUAAGCAUAGCAUUCAAGGAACAAGCUUUCCUGCUUAACGCAUCUGCUACCACAUUAGCCUUCCCAGGGUGGUAGUGAACACUGAGGUCAUAAUCUUUUAUCAACUCUAGACAUCUUCUCUGCCUCAUGUUCAAUUCCCUUUGAGCGAAAAUAUACUUCAGACUUUUGUGAUCCGUGUAUAUCUCACAUCGCUUCCCUAAGAGGUAAUGUCGCCAUGUCUUUAGGGCAUGAACCACUUCUGCUAGCUCAACGUCAUGAGUAGCAUAGUUCUCUUCAUGAGAUCGUAGUUGCCUUGAAAGGUAAGCUACGACUCUACCUUCUUGCAUCAGAACACCUCCCAGUCCGAUUCUUGACGCAUCACAAUAUAUCACAAAUUCCUUGUAUAUAUCUGGCGUGGCUAGAACUGGGGCGGUGGUCAGUCUCUUCUUCAGCUCCUGGAAACUCUCUUCGCACUUCCGCGUCCAUUCGAACUUCUUGUCCUUCUUCAAGAGCUGAGUCAUGGGUCGGGCAAUGCUUGAGAAUCCUUCAACUAACUUGCGGUAGUAUCCCGCGAGUCCGAGGAAGCUUCUGACUUCCUUCACAUUGCUUGGGGAUUGCCAUUCAGUCACGGCUUCAAUCUUAGCGGGAUCGACUGGCAAUCCUUCUUCAGUUAAAACAUGACCCAAGAAUCCAACUUCACGCAGCCAGAAUUCACACUUGCUGAACUUGGCAUACAGUUGGUGCUCUCGAAGCUUGUCUAGGACCAUCCUCAAGUGUUGCUCGUGCUCUUCUUCCGACUUCGAGAAGACAAGAAUGUCAUCAAUGAAGACAACAACAAACUUGUCCAAAUAUUCCAUGAAGACCUUAUUCAUGAGAUACAUGAAGUAAGCCCGGGCAUUGGUCAAUCCAAAGGACAUGACCGUGCACUCAUACAUGCCAUAUCUGGUUACAAAUGCCGUCUUCGGAAUAUCUUGGGGUCUGAUUUUUAGUUGGUAGUACCCAGAUCUGAGGUCGAUCUUGGAGAACACUUUGGCCCCAUUGAGUUGAUCAAACAGAUCUUCAAUCUUGGGAAGUGGGUACUUGUUCUUGAUUGUAACUUCGUUGAGGGAGCAGUAGUCAAUGCACAAGCGGAUGGUACCGUCCUUCUUUGCCACAAACAGAACAGGUGAUCCCCAAGGGGAGGCACUAGGGCGGAUAAAUCCCUUCCUCAAUUGCUCUUCCAGCUGCUUCUUCAAUUCUGCUAACUCCUCUGAUCCCAUUCUAUAAGGCUUCUUAUAGAUGGGUCCCGCUCCGGGUAUGAGCUCGAUGAUGAACUCAAUGUCUCGGUCAGGAGGCAUUCCCGGUAGCUCAUCAGGAAAAACAUCGGGGUAUUCGCAUACUACCGGCACUUGCUCCAAUCCAUCUUCAGUCAGACAGUUGACUUGGUUGGCUUGAGUAGAGGAGGAGUUGGAGGCAAAUUUAACUUCGACUCCUUGGUCAUUGGUCAUAGUGACAGUCCGGUUGGUGCAAUCUAUCAAGCCUUGGUGCCUGCUGAGCCAAUUCAUUCCUAAGAUCACAUCCAAGCCUUGUGAUUUUAGGAUGAUAAGGUCUGCUAGGAAGUCUACCUCAUUAAUGACAAUCCCGACUCCUUUACAUCCUAUCUUGGCUCUCAUCUCUGCUCCGGGGGUUUGUACCACCAUAGGGUUAUUCAGGGGUGUAGGGGUCAUGCCACUUUUUAAUGCAAAACUUUGGGUGACAAAUGAAUGCGUGGCUCCAGAAUCAAACAAAACAGUUGCGGGUGCUGAAUUGACAAGGAACGUACCCAGCACGACGUCCGGGUGUUCCUGGGCUUCUUCUGCAGUGACAUGAUUCACGCGACCCCUGCCGUUGUUGGGAAGGUUACGGGGAGCUUGGUUCCUUGGUGGCAUUCCACGGCCUUGUCCUGGGUUCUGCGCAUUGGGGCGCGGGGCGUCGGGCUUCUUGUUGGGGCAAUUCUUGGAGUAAUGUCCUGGCUGUCCACAUCCAAAGCAAGUGACUUGGUUGGGAGUGAUGCCCUUGCCAGCAUUGUUAUUGGGGUUGUUGUAAGCUGGCCUGGGGUUGGCAUACUGCUGAGGUGGAUAGUUGGUGCGGGGUGCAGGAGCUCUUGGCUGCUGAUAGGAUGGCUUGGCCGGAGCUGGCUGCCACAGACGAGGCUUCUGGUUGCUGGAACUACCCUUGCUGAUCAUCUUGCGCUUACGAGUAUCAUCCGAAGUACGUCGCUUGUCCUGAAGCAUGAGUGCCUUGUUCACCAAAUCAGGAAAGGUCGGGUAGUCACACACAACAAGCGAGUACUGCAGAGUCUGGUUAAGGCCUUCCAUGAAGCGCUCCCUUUUGGCAGCAUCAGUGCUGACAUCCUCAGGGGCAUACCUUGAGAGAACACUGAACUUCUGCAUGUACUCCUUGACAGUGCUACUACCUUGCUUUAGGGCUCGUAACUCACGCUUCUUGAUGGCCAUGAUUCCAGAAAGAAUGUGGGCCUUGCGGAAUUCUGUCUUGAAGGUAUCCCAAGUGAUGUCUUGCUCGGCAUGCAUGGCCUUGAAUCCAUCCCACCAAGCUCUGGCAGUUCCCCCGAGGCAGUGGGCAGCAUACGCCACCUUCUCACGGUCCUCAGUGCAUCCGACUAGUGCCAGCAGAUCCUCAAUGGUGCGGACCUAGUCGUCUACAUCCAGGGGUUCAGCAGUCUCGAUGAAGGUGGGUGGUGCAUGCUUCUUGAACUCCACCAACAUGGAACGUCCAUGGCCGUGCCCCGCCGGCUGGCGAUUGACAGCUUGAACAAUCAUCUGGAGGGCUGCAGUGUUGGCUUGGCAUUCCUCUCGGAAGGCUUGGAGAAGCUGAGCCAUGUCCAUGUUUGGAGGAGGUGGUGGUGGUGGAGUCUGUCCUUGGGCUUGGUCCUGGCUGGCUCCUGCCUCAGCAGAACCUCCGGCUUCUUGCGGCUGGGUAGAGGUACCAGUACGUGUUACAACAGGCAUCCUGUCGGAGCGGUCAAGGUCUCAUGAUUGGGAAAAUAAAACGAGGAAAAGCAAUAUAGAUGGGACGCCUAGUAAGGGGGUGGUGUGACACAAAUUUAAGUUAAACAAGGCCAGAAGGGCCAAACUCAUGCAUUAAAACCAAAUGGGGGAUGUCGCCGUUUACAAGUUCCCAAAGGGAAAGUAUGACUUCAUCAAAGCAAGUUGAAAGCAAACACAACACAACAUGGUUUCAUAUGAACCAUUACAAAAACUCAACUUCGCAUAAUGGGUACACGACCUAUCCUACCAUAGGGGUACGGACUGGCCUAUCCUAGUCAUGAACGGUGUCUAAGUGGUGGAAUGCUCGGUCGGGUAUUAUGGCUCCUCUGGGUCUUCCUCCUCGUCUUCAUCUGUCUUAGUCUCUUCGUCACUUGAGGGAGUGGGGGAGUGGAGGAGCUGAACACGGCGCUGCUUUGCCGGUGGCGUCGUGAAGAGGUUGCGGUACUCCUUCGCCGUCAUACGGCGUGGCUGAGGUGAUCCCUUGGCAUGUGCGGCCUGAGGGGGUCGCCCGCCACUAUAAGCUACAACAGGCUGUCCAGGGGUGCUCCAUCCUUCUUGAUCCUGUCCGCCUUCAUCUGAGCUACGCGGAGGAGUUCCUUGGUCUCGUGGAGUUCCUUCCGAAGCUCCAUCGACUCCGAGGCCAGGUGCUGUGCCAGACUGUCGGCACACAAAUUGAAGUAGGUCUGGAAGCGGAGAGAAAGCCCUUCGUCCAAGGGUGGGGCUGGUGCCCUGCUCUCGUCAUCACCUUCCUUACGAUAAGGCAGGUAACGAGUGGCUGGCUCACUUGCCAUCUCUGGCAGGAGAUCCCGGAGGCGAGUCAGCGCCUUGAGGGCAGCAGUCUCCACGGCGAGGAGCAGUGUCGCCAUCUGGGGUCCUUCAAAGAACCAGCUCGUCGAGGAGUCGUUCUCCCUCACGACUACCUCCACGUAAUACUCCUUCUUAGUGCUGUUGAUCCAGCGCUCGUGGUAGGAGAAGGUGGGGGCUCGAGUGAACUGGCACUUCCUGAGGCUAUCCUCAAGAAGCACGAGAAAUCCGGUGGUCAGGAAGUCCUCGGGUACGACGGCCAUCUACAAAAAGUGGAAGGGGAAAGGUCAAUAGAGGGAAUGUGACCUAUGUUUGGGAUACUAUCAUAAAACAUAGGCAUACGGGUAAUCUCGUGGAUAGUCUCACUCUAACUAACGUCCAUGCUAACUAAGGCUUCCUACAGUCAGGAUGGCUCUGGUACCAGCUCUGUGGGGACUCCGACUCAUAAGUCGAGAUCACCGAAUGCACGUGUACAGUGAUCCCAGAGAUCAAUGCUCACUGAACACAUAGAAGCUGAAUAACAAGAGUCUUACAUCCAUACAUACCGUCUUACACAAAUUGUGACCAUUAUGGUCAAGUCUUACAUGGAUAAAGCCUUAAGGGCUGAACAUCAAGUGAAACAUAAGCAGCGGAAAAUCGUCGUCGAUAAGUAGAACCCAUGCCAUCAGCCUUAACCCUACAGGCAUUUUGACUGGGAAACGUCCUAGUUCGCAUGUUCGUCUCCAAAGAACUCUUCUUCGAACUCCGGUUCUUCCAUGCCUGGUCAAUUAAAUAACCAGUGGCAAGCCAAUGAGUACUUUGAAUGUACUCGCAAGCAACCCAUGUUUUGGUUCAAGGUACAACAAUGCAUGAUAUAGGUAAAUUUUGCAGAAAGCUAGUUUUGAGUGCAAUGACAUGUUCAACAUCUAUAUAAAGCAUGCAUCAAGAGAGUUCAAGUAACCAUGAGGACUGGUUACAGAUAUCAACAUAAAUAGAGUGGGCACCAACCCAUCUAACAUAAGCAGAGUCGGCACCAACCCAUCUCAAUCAUGUCAAGUCCUUUGACUUGACCCGAGUAGUUUUAUCAGCUCACACACAUACGGUUGAAAACUUUGGACAUAGUUUAAGCAGCACCGCCAACCGUCUUUGACCGUGGACACGGCUAUUCGAAUAGUUUUACACUCUGCAGAGGUUGCACACUUUACCCACUAGAUCCGGGGAACUUCUGUGUCAUCCACGACCCGCGGUACCUCAAGUACCUGGGGUAAGCACCCGAUCACUACCUUUCCCUAGACGGCACUAACAUGGAGUCCACUCGAUUGGCAGUAACCCCCGUGCCCUACUUUUCACAUAACACUUUCUUGGAGCCUCGCUCCCAUACUUAUCACAUACCACUGGCACGGGGUACCAACGGUGUGUCCGGUGCCCCAUAAAAAUGGUCAUGGCCGCCCUACCUGGCACGACCCCGUCCCAAGAGAGAGCACCAACUCUCCCCCGUCACUAGUAAUGCGGGCUCCAAGCUAGUAUCGGUCUAGGUACGCAAUAAUGCCCUUUCCCAUAUAAGGGUAGAGUGGUCGCGCAUGUAAGGUUGGGACAGUCAUCAAAUCUUAAAUCUAAUCCGUUUUCGAAAACAACACACACUUGCCUCGGUACACCACUUCGUCAUCAAGUGGUUACCCAUCUCAUCAUCUCCCUCGGGCAUAAGUGGCACCCGAUGGGGUUUUCGAAAAGUCUUUUGAAAAUACUUUGUCUCCAUCACCAUGCAUAUCCCCGUCCCUUUUUGCGUAGCACUACUUAGCAUCCUAUCUACUCCCACCGGCAUAACCCUCAUGAGAAGGUAGGGCCAUGCACAAUGCAAGUAUCAACGAGGAAAUAACGGAGGCAACCAACCCACGUGGUUCACCAUCUCACCAUGAUUCCGAUGCAACAAUAAUAAAGAGCUACACACAUAUGACAUGCAUAAAAAGGGGCUUCAUAGACAUGGUCAAAGGGUUGCUUGCCUUGGUUGGCUUGGUCUUCAAAGUCUUCAGGCCCUGCUCCUCCUUCUUCCUCAGCUACCUCGUCAAAUACGGGAUCUAACAUUGCAAGAAAAUAACGGGAAAAUAAGAACAUAAUAAAAACAGAAAAGUCAAAGUGCUCAGAAAAAUGUCAACUUAUUUUCGUAAAAUACUAGGAGGAAAACUAGGAAGGGGAAAAUUCUUGGUUUUGAAUUUGGAGCUAGGGAAACAGAGUUGUGGAUUUUCAAACAGAGGUUUUAUUGUUCAAAUUCGAAUUUAAAUUUGAAAAAAGCAAAAAGGUGUAAUGGAUGUGCAUGAAAGUUACAUCAAUAAAUAGGUGGGAUUAUUCUGAGAUUUUAGGAGUUGGAAUCAUUUCAUUUGGACAAAUAUUUUGCCCUGUGGAAUUUUUGGAAAGGGGAUAGAAAAAGAAAAAGAAAA
rnacentral:lncRNA from 1 species